GCGCCGGGGAUGCGCGUGUCACGUGACGGCGGGGCGGAAGCGGCCGCGGCCGCGGCGGGGCCGGGCGGGACCGGGCCGGGCUGGGGCUCCUUGUGCCGGGGUGCUUUAGGCCCUCGGAUCCCUCCGCUCCGCGCUCUGCCCCGCGCCUGUCCCGGCAUUCGGGCGGCCCCGGGUCCGUGGGUCCCUUCUCGUAGCCCGCGGUGGGCACAGAGUUUGACUGUGACUCCCGGAGCGAGCUGCGGCGCCGGCGGCCUGACCGUGCUGAGCCCCGGGGGCUGUGCCGCCUGCUGGGCGCUCUCCGCACCGCUCCGGGCUGGGAACGCCGCCUGCUGUAGCUAGUUGCUGCCUGGGAUAAGUGAAGGAUUUUCCCAGCGGAUGCUGGUUUCAGGGCAGAGCAGCCUGACCUGGGAGCCUCGGGGGCUCAUGUGGAGCCACCUGAUGCUGGCUGGACUGAUGGAAAGUGCUUGGAGCUUCCCCAGUUACCCUGCGGCGCUGCACUGUGCUCUCUGUCUCCAAGGACCAUAGCGCAGGGAUGUUGCUGGGAGGGAUCCUGUGGCUUCCUUCCCAGAACCUGAGACCUCAGAGCCACGGUCCAAGGCCACCGACUUCAGCCCCUCCUGUGCUGCUGAUUCAUCAUUGCUGGUUACUUAAAAAAGGGUAAUCAGCAAAUUACUGAAAUAUAAGUAAAAUAAACAAGGUGGGCAGGAGAACUCUGUGUGGCAGGGCCCCAGAGACCUGA